rnacentral:tRNA from 3 species
GCCGAGGUAGCUCAGUUGGUAGAGCAAUCGCUUCGUAAGCGAUAGGUCGGGAGUCCGAAUCUCCCCCUCGGCUCCA